rnacentral:rRNA from 1 species
CACGUAGGCGGCUUCUUAAGUCAGGGGUGAAAUCCUGGAGCUCAACUCCAGAACUGCCCUUGAUACUGAGAAGCUUGAGUCCGGGAGAGAUGAGUGGAACUGCGAGUGUAGAGGUGAAAUUCGUAGAUAUUCGCAAGAACACCAGUGGCGAAGGCGGCUCACUGGCCCGGUACUGACGCUGAGGUGCGAAAGCGUGGGGAGCAAACA